CAUCCACCGAUUGACUAAGGUUUCCAGAGGAAGGCUCGUCCGCUCUGGGUUAGUCGGGACCUAAGCCGAGGCCGAUAGGCGUAGGCGAUGGAUAACAGGUAGAUAUUCCUGUACCACCUAUGAUUGUUUGAACGAUGGGGGGACGCAGUAGGAUAGGCGAAGCGUGCUGUUGGAGUGCACGUCCAAGCAAUAAGACUGAGUGUUAGGCAAAUCCGGCACUCGUAAGGUUGAGUUGUGAUGGGGAGUUGGAUCAUGUAUCCGACGAGUCGUUGAUUUCACACUGCCAAGAAAAGCCUCUAGUUAGAAAAUAGGUGCCCGUACCGCAAACCGACACAGGUAGUCAAGAUGAGAAUUCUAAGGUGAGCGAGCGAACUCUCGUUAAGGAACUCGGCAAAAUGACCCCGUAACUUCGGGAGAAGGGGUGCUUUUUAGGGUGCAAGCCUUGAAGAGCCGCAGUGAAUAGGCCCAAGCGACUGUUUAUCAAAAACACAGGUCUCUGCUAAACCGUAAGGUGAUGUAUAGGGGCUGACGCCUGCCCGGUGCUGGAAGGUUAAGAGGAGUGGUUAGCUUCUGCGAAGCUACGAAUCGAAGCCCCAGUAAACGGCGGCCGUAACUAUAACGGUCCUAAGGUAGCGAAAUUCCUUGUCGGGUAAGUUCCGACCCGCACGAAAGGCGUAACGAUUUGGGCACUGUCUCAACGAGAGACUCGGUGAAAUCAUAGUACCUGUGAAGAUGCAGGUUACCCGCGACAGGACGGAAAGACCCCGUGGAGCUUUACUGUAGCCUGAUAUUGAAAUUUGGCACAGCUUGUACAGGAUAGGUAGGAGCCUUUGAAACGUGAGCGCUAGCUUACGUGGAGGCGCUGGUGGGAUACUACCCUGGCUGUGUUGACUUUCUAACCCGCACCAUUUGAUCAUGGUGGGAGACAGUGUCAGGCGGGCAGUUUGACUGGGGCGGUCGCCUCCUAAAGAGUAACGGAGGCGCUCAAAGGUUCCCUCAGAAUGGUUGGAAAUCAUUCGCAGAGUGUAAAGGCACAAGGGAGCUUGACUGCGAGACCUACAAGUCGAGCAGGGUCGAAAGACGGACUUAGUGAUCCGGUGGUUCCGCAUGGAAGGGCCAUCGCUCAACGGAUAAAAGCUACCCCGGGGAUAACAGGCUUAUCUCCCCCAAGAGUUCACAUCGACGGGGAGGUUUGGCACCUCGAUGUCGGCUCAUCGCAUCCUGGGGCUGUAGUCGGUCCCAAGGGUUGGGCUGUUCGCCCAUUAAAGCGGUACGCGAGCUGGGUUCAGAACGUCGUGAGACAGUUCGGUCCCUAUCCGUCGUGGGCGUAGGAAAUUUGAGAGGAGCUGUCCUUAGUACGAGAGGACCGGGAUGGACAUACCUCUGGUGUACCAGUUGUCGCGCCAGCGGCAUAGCUGGGUAGCUAUGUAUGGACGGGAUAAGUGCUGAAAGCAUCUAAGCAUGAAGCCCCCCUCAAGAUGAGAUUUCCCAACUUCGGUUAUAAGAUCCCUCAAAGAUGAUGAGGUUAAUAGGUUCGGGGUGUAAGCGCAGUAAUGUGUGUAGCUGACGAAUACUAAUCGAUCGAAGACUUAAUCAAAUUUUA
rnacentral:rRNA from 2 species